GAAGCGGCAACAGCUCAAAUUUGAAAUCUGGCGCAAGCCCGAGUUGUAAUUUGUAGAGGAUGCUUCAGGGCAGCGGCCGGUCUAAGUUCCUUGGAACAGGACGUCGUAGAGGGUGAGAAUCCCGUAUGCGACCGGUUGGCACCCGUCACGUAGCUCCUUCGACGAGUCGAGUUGUUUGGGAAUGCAGCUCUAAAUGGGAGGUAAAUUUCUUCUAAAGCUAAAUACCGGCCAGAGACCGAUAGCGCACAAGUAGAGUGAUCGAAAGAUGAAAAGCACUUUGGAAAGAGAGUUAAAAAGCACGUGAAAUUGUUGAAAGGGAAGCGCAUGCCACCAGACUUGUCGGCGGUGUUCCGCCGGUCUUCUGACCGGUCCACUCGCCGCCGGCAGGCCAGCAUCAUCUGGGCGCGCCGGACAAAGGCGUGGGGAAUGUAGCUCCUCGGAGUGUUAUAGCCCCGCGCACAAUACGGCGCCGCCCGGGUGAGGUCCGCGCUUCGGCUAGGAUGCUGGCGUAAUGGUGGCCUGCGGCCCGUCUUGAAACACGGACCAAGGAGUCUAACAUCUAUGCGAGUGUUUGGGUGUCAAACCCCGGCGCGGAAUGAAAGUGAACGGAGGUGGGAAGCGCAAGCUGCACCAUCGACCGAUCCUGAUGUCUUCGGAUGGAUUUGAGUAAGAGCAUAGCUGUUGGGACCCGAAAGAUGGUGAACUAUGCCUGAAUAGGGUGAAGCCAGAGGAAACUCUGGUGGA
rnacentral:rRNA from 1 species